rnacentral:lncRNA from 1 species
UUUCUUUUCAAUAAUGCAAAUGGGAACACUUCUCUACAAACCCUUUCCCUGUUACUUGAUAGAAAGUCUUGGAGAAUUGCUAUGCAUGGCAUAUCAAUUAUUAUGUUCCCAACCUUUUGAUGAGACUCCCAGAAUUUAGUGUAAAGUGGUCCUUGGAAAAUAACCCCACACAGUCUGCACUCCAGUCCUACUCAAACCUUUCCUCUUUUGGUGGGAUCUGUUAAGGUUUAUGCUUCAGUGGCAGUCUUUAAAACUCAGUUACCCCUCUACAUCAUCAUAAGGAAAAGGAGUAAGAUCAAAGAUAGGACUUUGAUAUCAAUUGUACAAAUUCAUUCAUUCAUUCAACAGUGAAAUGCACUACCAAAACAAAGGAUGAAGUCCCUGCCUUCUAGGCAGGAACUUACAAUUUAAUAGAUUGUAAUAAUGCUGAUUCACAGAUAAAGAGAUACAAAUUAGAAAGGAAUAUAAAGUGCUGUGAGAUCUGCUUGGGGGAGAAUCAUUUUCUGGUGGAGGAAAUCAGGGAAGGCUAAUUAACAACAACUUAAUUGACUACAUUAAUAUAAAAAUCAAUAAAAAAUCCUAGAAUUAUUUCAAUUGAUGCAGAAAAAGCUUUUGACAAAAUAAAACAGAUAUUUCUAUUAAAAUUGUAAUAAAAAAGAUAAUCUGUAGGGAACUAUUUCUGGUUGUGGUAACUGGAAUAUAUUCUGGCUGACUGGAGAGCUGCUACUAGGGCACACCUGAGGCUGCCUAGUUAUAAUGGAGAUAGAAGAGAUAUAGAUACUUUUAGAGGGGAUUACUCAGGAGCUGCCUAAAGAUCUCUAAUGGCUAAUCAAGAUAUUUUCUACUACCUUCCUCCCUCAUUCCCACCUUUUUCCCUCCUCUCCCUCCCAGUUUCUUCUGAAGCCUAUGGCUUCCUCCCUCCCCCCUGAGUGGACUAUAAGAUUUAUGAGGAAAAACUCCUUUCUUUUCCUUUCUCAGCCCUUCUGGCCUUGCUGUUGCAAAGUGAAGUUGAUGCCUAGGACUCGAGACUUUAUUACUCUCGGUCGCUUACCUGCUUUCUCCUUUGGACUAAGUCUGAUUUUGGGCCAUAAUGACAGGAAAGAUUUGUGGCUAUACCCAGGACCCAGACAGAGGCGUCUUUAUUGCUCCCAGUUGUUAGUUACAUUUAUGUAUAUUUUGUGACUGACCUUAUUAACACACAUUUCUGCAUUUUUAAUAGAGAACACUAUAGUAGAACUCUUCAUUUGUCAUUGAACAUGUACUUCGUUGGGAUAAUUCUUGAUUUAUUAAAAGAACUUUUCAUUUGUCAUUUCCUUGAUUAGGUUGUGGAUGUGUUUUGUUUGUAUUCUCCAUCACACUUACACUAAAAUCUUGCUAUAUCAGACGUUUGAUACAUUGAUUGUUUCAUUCAUUCACAAAUAUUCCUUGGGAAUCCUUUGAGACAGGCCUUUUGGCAGAUGAUUGAAGACUAAGAGCUCCUUUCUCCAAGGAGUUACAAGGAAGGGGAGCGAUCACGGGAGUCAGUGUUUCUCAAAGAAUGAAAGCAUAAUGGAGGGGGAUGCAGUUUUAAUACUUUCCAUAAUGUGAAAGGUACGAUUGACAUUUGAAUGUUCUUAACAUUCUCUUCAUUUAAUAAACAUGAAUUAUUAUUUCCCCUAAUCCCA